GACGAACGCUGGCGGCGUGCUUAACACAUGCAAGUCGAACGGAAAGGCCCUGCUUUUGUGGGGUGCUCGAGUGGCGAACGGGUGAGUAACACGUGAGUAACCUGCCCUUGACUUUGGGAUAACUUCAGGAAACUGGGGCUAAUACCGGAUCGGAGCUCCUGCUGCAUGGUGGGGGUUGGAAAGUUUCGGCGGUUGGGGAUGGACUCGCGGCUUAUCAGCUUGUUGGUGGGGUAGUGGCUUACCAAGGCAUUGACGGGUAGCCGGCCUGAGAGGGUGACCGGCCACAUUGGGCCUAAGAGACGGACCAGACUCCUACGGGAGGCAGCAGUGGGGAGUAUUGCACAAUGGGCGGAAGCCUGAUGCAGCAACGCCGCGUGCGGGAUGACGGCCUUCGGGUUGUAAACCGCUUUCGCCUGUGACGAAGCGUGAGUGACGGUAAUGGGUAAAGAAGCACCGGCUAACUACGUG
rnacentral:rRNA from 1 species